GAUUCCCUACGGGACGCAGCAGUGGGGGAUAUUGCACAAUGGGGGAAACCCUGAUGCAGCGACGCCGCGUGUGGGAAGACGGUCUUCUGGAUUGUAAACCACUGUCCCCAGGGACGAAAAUGACGGUACCUGGGGAGGAAGCUCCGGCUAACUACGUGCCAGCAGCCGCGGUAAUACGUAGGGAGCAAGCGUUGUACGGAAUUACUGGGUGUAAAGGGAGUGUAGGCGGGGAUGCAAGUUGGGUGUCAAAACUACAGGCACAACCGAUA
rnacentral:rRNA from 1 species